rnacentral:lncRNA from 1 species
AAUAACAAUAAAUUUCUAAAAAAACAUAAUAAUAAGAAGGAUUAAAUCACAAAUAAAAUCGAAUUAACAGGGAAUAAAUAAGAUUAAGCUAAAGUGAGGGACCAUGCUGCAACACGCGUAUUACAUGGGGGCCUGAUUGGGAAAUAUCUCGCUUCCCCAAAACGCAGCGCCACGACACGGAGGCGAAGGCGCGCGUGUACGAGGGCUCGUCACGUACGGAGGGGGAGCAAGGGGACGUCACUGCUACGGCGCUGGGAACCCUUGUUGCUAGGGUUUUCGGUGUUUGGGGAAAACUUUGGGCUGAGUUGGGUUCUGGGCUAGGCUAGAAUUUGGGCUUGGGCUGGUCCAAUUGUAAAUGGACUGUUUUUUGGACUGAAUUUGAUUUAUUAUUUUUUUGGUUUUUU